GAUGAACGCUGGCGGCGUGCUUAACACAUGCAAGUCGAACGGAAAGGCCCAAGCUUGCUUGGGUGCUCGAGUGGCGAACGGGUGAGUAACACGUGGGUGAUCUGACCUGCACUUUGGGAUAAGCCUGGGAAACUGGGUCUAAUACCGGAUAGGACCAUCGUUUAGUGUCGGUGGUGGAAAGUUUUUCGGUGUGGGAUGAGCUCGCGGCCUAUCAGCUUGUUGGUGGGGUAAUGGCCUACCAAGGCGUCGACGGGUAGCCGGCCUGAGAGGGUGUACGGCCACAUUGGGACUGAGAUACGGCCCAGACUCCUACGGGAGGCAGCAGUGGGGAAUAUUGCACAAUGGGCGCAAGCCUGAUGCAGCGACGCCGCGUGGGGGAUGACGGCCUUCGGGUUGUAAACUCCUUUCGCCAAGGACGAAGCGUUUUGUGACGGUACUUGGAGAAGAAGCACCGGCUAACUACGUG
rnacentral:rRNA from 1 species